GCUAGGCUAUAUCAUUUGACCGUUAGGCUAAAAGCUACAGUUAUAAAGCAAAAAAAUAUGGCUAAAAUAUGUAUAAAAUACAUUAAUGUUGAUAUUAACAUAACAGUUAAUUAAAUUUUAAUUAAGUUUACCCACCUUGUUUAUUUACCACAGUGUACAUCAGUGUGUAUCACCGUGUAUAACCGACACUGCCCACCCGCGGUGCUCAUCACUUCUCACCGGAGUGUGUGGAACUCAAGCCCCCGGCGGGUCACCGAAGAAUAGCGGUCGUUAAAUAUUCAUCCUCCGUUCCCGGUGGCACACUUUUCCUCUCCACUGACCGACCCCUGCUACUCUGUGCCCCGCCAAGGGAGCCGCAGAGGCAAGGAACUGUGUGGGUAGUUAAAAUGAAAAAAGUUUAAACGGGAUUUGUUUUAGUUUUGGGGGUUUUGUCUCUCUGCUUGACCUAUUGGAGGAUGAAGGAACGUGACUACGGAGCUCCAGUGUGGGUGUGCCGGGGGAGAGGAGCCUUCAUGGGGACCAGAUUUGGACAGUGUAGAACUGCUUUGGCCAGGUGGACCUGUCCUCACACAGUACCUGCAUAUAGUGCCGGUGCAAAUUCACCAAGGCAUAUCUAAACCAAGGAAUCUUUUAAAGGUCUACAGCAUCCUGAAGAGAGGGCAUGGUGUGCUUCUAGCCACCUGUGAAAAUGCCCAAGAAAGACGCCAAGAAGGACACAAAGAAGGGUGGAAAACCUGAACCAGAGAAAAA